rnacentral:tRNA from 1 species
UCCCCGAUAGCUCAGUUGGUAGAGCAGCGGACUGUUAAUCCGCCUGUCGCAAGUUCGAGUCUUGCUCGGGGAGCCA